UACGAAGGGGGCUAGCGUUGCUCGGAAUCACUGGGCGUAAAGCGCACGUAGGCGGCUUUUUAAGUCGGGGGUGAAAUCCUGGAGCUCAACUCCAGAACUGCCUUCGAUACUGACGAUCUCGAGUCCGGGAGAGGUGAGUGGAACUCCGAGUGUAGAGGUGAAAUUCGUAGAUAUUCGGAAGAACACCAGUGGCGAAGGCGGCUCACUGGCCCGGUACGUGGACGCUG
rnacentral:rRNA from 1 species